rnacentral:rRNA from 1 species
CCUACGUGGCGCAGCAGUGAGGAAUAUUGGUCAAUGGGCGCGAGCCUGAACCAGCCAAGUAGCGUGAAGGAUGACUGCCCUACGGGUUGUAAACUUCUUUUAUAAAGGAAUAAAGUGAGGCACGUGUGCCUUUUUGUAUGUACUUUAUGAAUAAGGAUCGGCUAACUCCGUGCCAGCAGCCGCGGUAAUACGGAGGAUCCGAGCGUUAUCCGGAUUUAUUGGGUUUAAAGGGAGCGUAGAUGGGUUGUUAAGUCAGUUGUGAAAGUUUGCGGCUCAACCGUAAAAUUGCAAUUGAUACUGGCAGUCUUGAGUACAGUUGAGGUAGGCGGAAUUCGUGGUGUAGCGGUGAAAUGCUUAGAUAUCACGAAGAACUCCGAUUGCGAAGGCAGCUUACUAAACUGCCACUGACAUUGAUGCUCGAAAGUGUGGGUAUCAAACAGGAUUAGAUACCCUAGUAGUC